UGGGGAAUUUUGGACAAUGGGCGCAAGCCUGAUCCAGCCAUACCGCGUGGGUGAAGAAGGCCUUCGGGUUGUAAAGCCCUUUUGUUGGGAAAGAAAUCCAGCUGGUUAAUACCCGGUUGGGAUGACGGUACCCAAAGAAUAAGCACCGUCUAACUUCGUGCCAGCAGCCGCGGUACUACGAAGGGUGCAAGCGUUACUCGGAAUUACUGGGCGUAUAGUGUGCGUAGGUGGUCGUUUAAGUCUGUUGUGAAAGCCCUGGGCUCAACCUGGGGACUGCAGUGGAAACUGGACGACAAGAGUGUGGUAGGGGGUAGCGGAAUUCCUGGUGUAGCGGUGAAAUGAGUAGAGAUCAGGAGGAACAUCAAUGGCGAAGGCAGCUACCUGGACCAACACUGACACUGAGGCACGAAGGCGUGGGGAGGAAAC
rnacentral:rRNA from 1 species